CACUUCGCCCCCAAUUAAGGACCCUAGGUGCCCCGCGACAGAUCCCAUCGCAUCUCUGAGGGCACCUGGGAGCAAGGGGGCACCAGGGACAGACGGGGUCCGGCUCCAGCAGCCGCCACGGAACUUCGCAAGCCGCCGGGCCCUUCUUCUGCCCGUCCCGCAGAGACGCCACUGCGAAUCCUGUCUACCAGAUUUGAGGUAAUUUGGGAAAAAACGCUCGCAUCCGAAGGGAUUCAACCUUUGCCCUCCCAUCCUCCUUCUGCCAGCUUAUUCCGAAGGCAGGCCCAGCAAUGAUCACUUCCUGAUGGAAGCAGGAAAAGUUUGGGUCAGGUCCCGUGCCGAGACGGGCUGGCGGGAACGGCUGCCCCUCUCUGUACCCGUGGCUGGAUGAAGGGGUCUCUCGGAACUGUCAGGGAGGCUUCGCUCCAGGUCCCUGCCUUCACCAGGGGAGAGAACACCCCCCAAAUUUGCGAGUGCAGCGAGACGGAGAAAAAAAAUCGGUGGGAUCCGCCGUGGAGCCCGGAGAAGAGGAGAGCCGCGACGGGGUCCGAGGUCCUUGUCCCAGCCCUCUCUUGCAAAGCUGCCGGUACAGUGUACCCACAGGUGUCCCCUCUCCCCUCCGCCCCCACGUACUGCUCGUCUUUGCUCCCCUUGGAAAACAACCUCCCUGAGCUGGGCGCUCGCGGGCUACCGGCUCUCAUGGGGAGGGGGAGAAGGGGUUCGGGGAACACUGCGGGGCUGCGGAAAAACUUCUCAGAGGAGUCUAUCUCUGAAGGUCGUUUCGUACCUUUCUCCCACUCCUUCCUACCCUCGCAACUAGCUCCCUGCGGAGAAAAAAAAACAACUUCGCUGCACCAAAAAUAAAUCUGACCCAAGUGCCCGCAGCCGGCUCUGCCGGAGCACACCCUUCCCUCUAAGAAAAACACACAUAUCCCUCCAGAAAAAAGCCGGCGGAGAAGUCGUCGUUCCCUCAGGGGCUCCGGCAGAGAGGCAGGGCCGGGUCGGGCCGAAAUCCUCCUCCCCAAAAACUUGUCCGGAGGCGGGGAACGGGACCAUCCUCCCCGGGCGGGCGGGGAAGAGACCGGGUGUCGCAGGGCUCAGCAGUCGCGGAGCUCGCCCUGAGCCCAGGGGGAUGGGCGCAGCCUGCAGCCGUCCUGCCCCGCAACUUCGCUCUGGACUUGCGGCGCAGCAAAACUUUGUUGGACGGUGAGAAGGACACAGACUCACACAGAACCACCCCGGGCUGUGAUAGCCGAGCCGCGCUGGCUCCUCCGAGACCUGUAAUAUCUCUGCCGCUCCCGACACGUGUGAAUAAUUCACCAGGCUGCCAAAUGCAAGUAACGUUUGUGGCAGCUAUGAAGGAGCCGGAGAGGCGAGGGCUCAUUUUUGGGGGGCAGGAGGAGGUGUGGGGAAUCAAUUGAAACUUAAUAAAGGGAGUGGGGGGGGAGAAUGGCGGAAAUAAGCCAGGCAACUUCUUCUAAUAACAACUUGGUGUUAAUAAUUCAGGAGCCGUCAUUGGAUUAUAGUGCAAUAUCCGAAGUACGUGUUGCCGCCACAGUGCGGGUGGAUAAUGUAAUCGGAGCUCAUUUUGCCUUCCAAUAAAUUA